CGGGGGGAGCAAGCGUUGUUCGGAUUUACUGGGCGUAAAGGGCGCGUAGGCGGCGCAACAAGUCACUUGUGAAAUCUCCGGGCUUAACCCGGAGCGGUCAAGUGAUACUGUCGUGCUAGAGUGCGGAAGGGGCAACUGGAAUUCUCGGUGUAGCGGUGAAAUGCGUAGAUAUCGAGAGGAACACCUGCGGCGAAGGCGGGUUGCUGGGCCGACACUGACGCUGAGGCGCGAAAGCCAGGGGAGCGAACGGGAUUAGAUACCCCGGUAGUCCUGGCCUUAAACGAUGGAUGCUUGGUGUCCGGGGUUAUAAAGUCCCGGGUGCCGUCGCUAACGCUUUAAGCAUCCCGCCUGGGGAGUACGCACGCAAGUGUG
rnacentral:rRNA from 1 species